rnacentral:rRNA from 1 species
GAUGAACGCUGGCGGCGUGCUUAAUACAUGCAAGUCGAACGAAGAGCUUUUGUAGCAAUACGAGAGCUUCUUAGUGGCGAACGGGUGCGUAACGCGUUGGUGACCUGCCCCGAAGUGUGGGAUAACAGUUCGAAAGGAUUGCUAAUACCGCAUGUGGUUUUCCGGAUUAGAGGCCGGAUCUCUAAAGCAGUAAUGCGCUUCGGGAGGGACCUGCGUCCCAUCAGCUAGUUGGUAGGGUAAUGGCCUACCAAGGCGUCGACGGGUAAGGGACCUGAGAGGGUGGCCCCUCACAAUGGAACUGAAACACGGUCCAUACACCUACGGGUGGCAG